rnacentral:rRNA from 1 species
UACAGAGGGUGCGAGCGUUGUCCGGAAUCACUGGGCGUAAAGGGCGCGUAGGUGGCGGCCCAAGUCCAUGGUGAAAGCUCGAUGCUCAACAUCGAGUCGGCCACGGAUACUGGGUUGCUCGGAGCACUGUAGGGGCAGAUGGAAUUCCGGGUGUAGCGGUGGAAUGCGUAGAGAUCCGGAAGAACACCGGUGGCGAGGGCGGUCUGCUGGGCAGUGCUGGACACUGAGGCGCGGAAAGCUGGGGGAGCAAACAGG